rnacentral:lncRNA from 1 species
GGAAGAGAAGGAGGAGGAGGAGGAGGAGGAGAAAGUGGCUCUCAGCGGCCGGUCGGAUUAAAAGUAACCAGACUCGUCCAGAAAACUGCGUCCAGGAAGGAAGUGACAGAAGACGAAUGGGAAAAGGAGAACAGCUCACAGCGUUUGAAACAUCGCGGCACCACUUUCAGAUAAAAACAUAGACCUGAAUGGCAUCAUCCAGUAUCCAAGGAAACCAUGUUCUCUAAACAUGAAUAUGCCUUUGGGGGAAGACAGAAGAACAUGGAAGCCAUGUGAAAAAAACGGAUCCUAAGGCAGUUUUGAACAUCUGGAGGCCUGAUUUAUUGGAGAUUGCAAAUGUACAGUGUAACAUAGCUGUGGAGAGCGAGAAGAUCAGGAUUGUCAAUGCUGUCAUUGCUUUUACUGGAAUCCCCAGCACGAAUUGAAGGUUUGACCAGAGACAAAGAAGCAAAUGCUAUCAAUUAACAUUCACAUGUGGUAGAGACUCCAUGAAGGAAAAAGUAUAGUAUUGAUGAGGAAUACCUUGUUAUAUUUCAAUAAGGAUACAUGGAUUCUAUAUCAUAUAAGAUCUCACAUGAGAUGGCAAAGAGGUCAAGACAAAAAUUCUGCAUUUGGGAAAAGAAUAACACAUGGACUUCCUCCUACAGGAUUAUAGGACUGUGUAUGUCCUACACACACAUUAUAUGUCCUACACGCACAGUGAUGAGGAGUGACAAAAUGAAGACUCCAGAAUCCUCUUUAUCAGAUCCUGAAUGUGCACUUUCUGAAGUGAAGUCCACUAUGUGCUGGGCACACAGAGAAUAGAGCAUGAAACAAAAGCAACAUGACCCUGCCCUCACCAAGACUACAGGGAGUGAUGGAGCAUACAACUUUGUUUCAGAAUGCAAUUCAGAUCUUCCCUUUCGCUUGGCUUCUUAAAACUUCUUUUGAGGAUGGUAAAAUUUCGUGUUAUAUUAAAUUUCAUCCUGUAACUGAUACUCUGGGAUGAUGUUGGCCAAUAACUAGCAAGACUUUAAAUAAUCAACUAGUUUAGGCAUUGCUUAGCACGCUCCAGCUGACUUCACAAGUAAAACCAUGUGAAGAAAGAAGGUUUUCAGGUAACACAGAUGGAGGUGAUGAUCUUUCUCAUUUUGUGGAAAAUAUUAAUUUCUCAUUUUUUAUUCACUGACAAUUAGUAAAAUUCCUUACUCUACCUAAUAUGUAGACUUCUGAACUAUGUAAGUAAAACUUUAUAGUAACUGAAAAGUUUGGGUAUUGUAUUUUCUUGGAGAAAAUGUUAGCUUCCCUCUGUUACUUUUAAAUGUUAAACUUUUAAUGAAUUUCAUCAAUGUAUAAUAAUGGGCAUAAUGAUCCACUCUGAAAUAUUUACUGUCAUUUUGAAUUUAUUCUUGAGUCAUCACAAACGUGUACAUCUCUUAUACCUUCAUGGAUGUUAUUGGUGAGAUGAUCUCUUGUUGUCAACACCUUGAGGAUAGGGACUUAUUCAGGCUCGCCUCUAGCAAGUGCUAAGUGCCUGGGAACACAUAAUAAAUAUUUCAUGAUAGGAGGAUGUUAGAAUAAGAGGAAAAACCAGAUUCUUACCCAAAUAAAUAAUAUUUAUUAUAUUCUUAUUUGUAUAUCAUUGUAACUGUAAAAAAAAGUUGCCUAGGGAUUUGUUUUAUUUGUACAAAUACUUGUUUUUUGUAUGUAAGAGUGCCAAAUAUAAAACUGCAUAACAUUUAGAAAUUACAGAAAUGUGUAUAUAUUUAUAUAGAGACAAGAAAAAUAAAAUUUUCAUUCUAUCAUAUAGAAAUAACUACAUUUGAAGUUAUUUCCCUCCUAUAUGUAAACUUUUACAUAGUUAAGUUUAUACAAUAUAUUUGCUUUCAAAACUCAUUUUCCAAUUAAACAUUAUAUCCAUUAGAAUGUUCAUGACAUCCUUUAUUUAUGCCUUAAAAUUUUUUUAAAUACGGUAAUGUAUAUGUCUACAACCAUUUCUGUUAUCUAAAAUGUGGGGCUAUUAUUAAUAAUAGUAAUUGCAGUCAUUUCCAGAGAGAGUUUGUUCUGUGCUAGACAUUGUGUACUUUUUACAACUAAUUUGUUAGGCUAGUUACUACAUUUAAUUUCAAGUGAAAGAGUUUAACAGAAGUUAAACAGGCCAGGCGCGGUGGCUCACACCUGCAAUCCCAGCACUUUGCGAGGCCGAGGUGGGCGGAUCACUUGAGGUCAGGAGUUUGAGACCAGCCUGGCCAACAUGGUGAAAACCCAUCUCUACUGUUAACACAAAAAUUAGCAGGGCAUGGUUGCAUGCACCUGUAAUCCCAGCUACUUGGGAGGCUGAGGCCGGAGAAUCGCUUAAGCCCAGAGGUGAAGGUUGCAGUGAGCCAAGAUUGCGCCAGUGCAGUCCAACCUCGGCAACAGGGCAAAGACCGUCUGCCCCUGCA